rnacentral:rRNA from 1 species
CACGUAGGGGGCAAGCGUUGUCCGGAUUUAUUGGGCGUAAAGAGCUCGUAGGUGGCUCGGCAAGUCGGGUGUUAAACCCCCAGGCUCAACCUGGGGACGCCACUCGAUACUGCUGUGGCUAGAGUCCGGUAGGGGAGCGUGGAAUUCCUGGUGUAGCGGUGAAAUGCGCAGAUAUCAGGAGGAAUACCGGUGGCGAAGGCGGCUCACUGGACCGGCAUUGACGCUGAGGUGCGAAAGCGUGGGGAGCAAACAGG